UGUCGAAAGACUGUGAACUCUUCACACUCCGGAUGGGAGAGGGGCGGAAACAUCCCGAAAACCGCACGAAAUAGCCUUUUUAAGGGAUCUUGGUCGCAAUGCAAUAACGACUGUUUUAAACGUAUACACUGAAGACCAGCAGAAAAGAAUGACCACGAACCCGAGGAGGGAACGGCAGAGGUUUCGGACGCUGCCGCGGGAAGGUUACUGGAAGUUACUCUCCAGAGCAACCCCUCUCAAAAAUACAAAUACCUGGAGGCAGAACCCAAGAUAUUAGGGGUACACGUGAGGUUGAUAUCGGAGUAGAGUACAAUGUAGUCUCAAAUAAAUCUACUGAUGAGUUUUAGGUCUCAUCCACAGGUGACCGAGUAGAUAUUUUAAAUUAUCUACUAAUUUUAUAUUUAAAGGUAGAAUUUCUGAUAUUAUAAAUGUUUCAGCAUUUCUCUAGAAAAAUAUCCACAGUAAAAUAUACCACAAUGUUUUCUUUAAACAGGGCAUUAUUUCUGGCGGUGUAAAGCGAUAGCAGCGCAGAAGCUUCAUCUGCAGACAGUAGCCUAAGUCGGGCUACUGGACACAGCAAAAACUAUGAAAUAUCAUUAAAAAAUAUCUAUCAUGCAUGCUAUUUCUAUGUCCAGAAUGUACCCCCUAAAUUUCUGAGUACCCACUCAGAAUGUUUCGCUGAAGAGGCACUUAGAAAUAAGCUCUUGAGUGUGUGUGUCUGUCGUUUUGUUUCUCAACAGCUCAAGGCUUGUUGGUGGUCACAUGUGUGGCAUAGAAUUCACAUUUUUGAUGUGAAAUAUUCCUUUAAGCUAAACGUGAAAACAUCAUUAUUUUGGCAUACACACUACAACCAUGCUAUUAAUGUAUCAAUAUUUUUUUUUGCAUUGAACUGAAGCUAAUAAAGUUCACGUUCACCCACUGA